rnacentral:rRNA from 1 species
CCUACGGGAGGCAGCAGUGAGGAAUAUUGGUCAAUGGACGAGAGUCUGAACCAGCCAAGUAGCGUGAAGGAUGACUGCCCUAUGAGUUGUAAACUUCUUUUAUAUGGGAGUAAAAUGUUCCACGUGUGGGAUUUUGUAUGUACCAUAUGAAUAAGGAUCGGCUAACUCCGUGCCAGCAGCCGCGGUAAUACGGAGGAUCCGAGCGUUAUCCGGAUUUAUUGGGUUUAAAGGGAGCGUAGGUGGAUUGUUAAGUCAGUUGUGAAAGUUUGCGGCUCAACCGUAAAAUUGCAGUUGAAACUGGCAGUCUUGAGUACAGUAGAGGUGGGCGGAAUUCGUGGUGUAGCGGUGAAAUGCUUAGAUAUCACGAAGAACUCCGAUUGCGAAGGCAGCUUACUGGACUGCAACUGACACUGAGGCUCGAAAGUGUGGGUAUCAAACAGGAUUAGAUACCCUAGUAGUC